rnacentral:miRNA from 1 species
GCAACAGACUCACGUCCAGA